CUCCUGUAUCCGUGAGCAUGGUGACUCAGUGUUCAUGCCUGAUGCGUGAUGUUUGCCUCCCUCAAACCUUGUUACAAUGUUGGCACAUCACUCGUCUGACU